rnacentral:rRNA from 1 species
GACGAACGCUGGCGGCGUGCUUAACACAUGCAAGUCGAACGGAAAGGCCCUGCUUUUGUGGGGUGCUCGAGUGGCGAACGGGUAAGUAACACGUGAGUAACCUGCCCUUCACUGUGGGAUAACUUCAGGAAACUGGGGCUAAUACCGGAUAGGAGCUCCUGCUGCAUGGUGGGGGUUGGAAAGUUUCGGCGGUUGGGGAUGGACUCGCGGCUUAUCAGCUUGUUUGUGGGGUAGUGGCUUACCAAGGCUUUGACGGGUAGCCGGCCUGAGAGGGUGAGCGGACACAUUGGGACUGAGAUGGGGCCCAGACUCCUACGGGAGGCAGCAGUGGGGAAUAGUGCACAAUGGGCGGGAGCCUGAUGCAGCAACGCCGCGUGCGGGAAGACGGCCUGCGGGUUGUAAACCGCUUUCGCCUGUGACGGAGCGUGAGUGACGGUAAUGGGUAAAGAAGCACCGGCUAACUACGUG